rnacentral:rRNA from 1 species
CCUACGGGGUGCUGCAGUGAGGAAUAUUGGUCAAUGGACGGAAGUCUGAACCAGCCAUGCCGCGUGCAGGAAGACGGCUCUAUGAGUUGUAAACUGCUUUUGUACAAGGGUAAACCUGAAUACGUGUAUUCAGCUGAAAGUACUUUACGAAUAAGCAUCGGCUAACUCCGUGCCAGCAGCCGCGGUAAUACGGAGGAUCCAAGCGUUAUCCGGAUUUAUUGGGUUUAAAGGGUGCGUAGGCGGAAUGAGAAGUUAGGGUGAAAUGUCCGAGCUUAACUCGGGAAGUGCCUCUAAUACUGUUGUUCUAGAGAGUAGGUGCGGUAGGCGGAAUGUAUGGUGUAGCGGUGAAAUGCUUAGAGAUCAUACAGAACACCGAUUGCGAAGGCAGCUUACCAAUCUAUAUCUGACGUUGAGGCACGAAAGCGUGGGGAGCAAACAGGAUUAGAUACCCUUGUAGUC